ensembl:lncRNA
CCGCCAUCUUGGCUUGGAACUUCCCUCAGCGGCUUGGUGCUAGAAAGUUCUGGAUUUGAGGCUUUUCCAUGCCGCUCCCUGUAAGUCAGUGAAAGUAGACUAAAAACAAAAGAAAAGGCAAGAAAAAAACGACAAAAAAAAAAGUGCAUAUGACUGAUGCUGACGCUGCUGUUUCUGUUCUUUUGUUGCUGUUUGGUCGCUAAGUCGUGUCCAACUCUUUUGUGAACCCAGGGACCAUAGCCCGCCAGGCUCCUGUGCCCAGUUAUCCAUGAGUCAGAUGAGCAGAAUUACAUUUUGAUAAUGUUACUUGAACUGCAAAUGAUCCAGAAAUGAAACCUCUGCUGGUGGAGUCUGGCAAUACUGCUCACAGCUUGUCUGGCAGUUAAGGACACAGGCCGAGUGGAGAGGGUCUGCGGGACUUCCCCAAGGACCGCGCCUCAGUGUCUCACCCACCUUCCAGAGGGUCUCCGUCCGCUGCAGUGCCCUUGGCAGGCAGAGUGGAGGGGCAGUUCCCUCUGCGCUGCAACGUAUGUAAACAAUUUCAUCUUUCAAUCCAAUCUUUAAUGAAAUGUUUAAUACAAACCUGCUGUUAACAUGAUGUACAUGAAUUUACUGGCAAGCAAAGCUGGGAUUUACAUCAUUCUGAAAAUCAGAUGUUCUUUGUAUCAGGAAAAACCUUUAAAGAUGGAAAGGUUUUCCUUCUGAAUGGCAGGUGCAUCCUUAAAGUGCACACACCCCGUGCACCAUUGGGGGUCAGCCUCUCUCAGAUGCCAGAUUCCAGUGUGUGAUCGUUUCU